CAACUCUGAGCAGCAGGGUGCUGAGAAAAUCGGGCUCUUGGCAUCACUGCGGGGCAGAACUGGGGUCUCCAGGGCAGUGCUGACCCGGGCCUGCCGGAUUCCCUUCUAUCCCUGGCCGGCUGUGCUUUGCCCCACUGAGCCCUGCACAGGGGAAGGCUGUCCGUUCCCUGUAAAGGAGACCACAGAGUGACUCGGCAGGCCUCUGGUCUUCCCAGAGCAGGAGUCUGUGGGGAUGUGAAGGGCCCAGGCCCACUGACAUCAGGGAAGAGCAGGUGGGGUCCCCAUUCCAUGGGCGUAUGUGAAGACACACUGUGUGCAGACCUUUCCCAGGGGUCGGCUGUGAUCGCCAGUAGCCAGAGCAGAUGCAACCCCUGCCCUCUGGGGCUUCAGUGCUAUUUGGGGUCCUCAGUCACCCUGGACAGCUGAGCAAGCAUUCCUCGCACUGCAGUAGAUGGCACUUUCCCGGCCUCCCUAGAUGUGGAUCCACAGCAGUGCAAGAGGAGCCCAGGAGCAGCAUAGACACCGGGCAGCACAGUGCUACAGAGCUAAAGCCUGAGGAGAGGUGGGAGGGACAGAUGCCCACUGUCCCCCACGUCUCAGAUCGUUACAGAGCAGUGGCCCUGUGCCCUUGAGUGUAACACGCAGCAGACACCAGACUCUGUCCUCAUGCAGCUGACAGUGGGGACGGGUGGGGAGAUGGUGUGUUGGGCUGCCCUGAACAAGGCAGAGGUGGUCGCACCGCAGAGCACGGAGCCUCCUGUUAGGCUCUCAGGCUGCCUGGCCCAGCACUGCCCCACUGGGCAUGGAGAGGGUGGGGCUGGAGCACGUGCAGCCAGGGCAGUAGGCCUACUUGGCCAUCUCCGCAUGUUCUCUGGGCAGGCAGCAUGGGAGGAAAGGCCAGGCCUCUCACUCUGCCUCCUUCCUGCCUUUCCAGGUCCUCCUUUUUUGUCCUCCACUUCUUGGUGGAGCUGCACUCCCAGGAGAAUCCACCAGCUGAACUCCUGGCCCAGCUGGAGCAAGCUGAGUCCACUGAGGCACAGCCCACGGNNNCAGCUCCAGCCCCAGCUGAAGUCCCACGUGCGGAGCCCGAGCCAGCUCCACCUGCAGCUUCCUGCCCAGGCUGGGACCACAGCCAGAGUCCGUGGCAGCCUCUUCACCUGCUGCAGUGCUGGGGCACCUGGUGGUUGCACGGCGGUUGGUGUCACCUCCUGAGCUCCGCCUGGGGCCAGCUCCUGGCCCCUCCCACUGUUUCCCUCACUUAUGCUGGCUCUUGUUUUGGUAUUUCUUGGAUUUAUAUAAGUAAUAGAACUAGCUUUUAAUAAAACUUAAAAUUUUAGUGUUUAAAAGGGUC
rnacentral:lncRNA from 1 species